UACGUAGGGGGCUAGCGUUGUCCGGAAUCAUUGGGCGUAAAGAGCGUGUAGGCGGCCCGGUAAGUCCGCUGUGAAAGUCGGGGGCUCAACCCUCGAAUGCCGGUGGAUACUGUCGGGCUAGAGUGCGGAAGAGGCGAGUGGAAUUCCGAGUGUAGAGGUGAAAUUCGUAGAUAUUCGGAAGAACACCAGUGGCGAAGGCGACUCGCUGGACAGACAUUGACGCUGAGGUGCGAAAGCGUGGGGAGCAAACAGG
rnacentral:rRNA from 1 species